AUUUAGAAUAUGAGCUGUAGCGUCAAACGAUGCGCAUCUAGGCCUCUAUUCUUGAAAUAUAUCGCAAAACAAAAAUCCUAUAGUAUAUGUCACGUAUACUAUAGAAUUUUCAUGUGUCAAGAAUAGAGCUCCAGUGGUCCGUUAUUAAAUGACACGUAAUAAUAAUGGAACAAUAGGUUUCAAUGAAAUCGGCCUGAAAUGUGCAACUAAAUUCUAACUCUGUUUUAAUAUUCAGAUUAAGAUCAUUUCAUCAUUUAAAGAAAAAGAAAAUAAGAGUAAUAAAAGGAAAA